ensembl:lncRNA
AGUUUAAGUACAUUUUAUUAACAAUGCAUCCCUUUGAUAAGACUACGCUUCAGAAGGCUUUUAAUGCCCAUUGACAUGAACUGUACACACUGUUAAAAAAAAAAAGGGGGGGGGGGGGGACAAAAAGAAAAAAAGAAAAAAAACCCAAACCAGAAAAAAAAAAAAUCAGGGUGGGCAAUACCAUUUGGGACAAGCCUCUGUUUAAAUUAUACACAGCUCAAUGCAAUAUUCUUACGGAAAAUAUAUAAAUACUUUUUCUUUCUAUGUUACAGGUAUACAAUAUAAAUCAGAUUUCAAUGUCUGUUCAGUGACCUACAAACACUAGAACCCCCAAAUAUGUAGCAGCGUAUUACUAAAUAAGAAAAGACCACACGGGGCAGGGAGAAUAAAGUCUUGAGAUUUUCCUUGAUCCCCUUUUUCCUCAGAAGGAUUAAUUUAGACACUCUUGUAAUGCAGUUUUAGGGAUGCUGACAGCCCAAUACUGGAACAAUUUUUCAAUUAAAUCUACGAAGUGUCUGCCUUUUCCCCCCUUAGACAUUGCAUCUUGUGCUGGAACACCCUAUUCAGUGGCAAAAUGGUAUCUUACACUUUUUGGCAUAAAUUACAUUUCUCAAAUAAAAUAGUGUAUUUUACAAAGCAACUCAAGCAAAAUGUGCAAUUUCUGCAUGCUGUGGCAUUGCUGUCUAUUUACGUUACAAAAAUAGUCCAAAGAGUACCCACAUUCUUUACUGAACAUAGAAAUCUGUUGAAAACAGAACUAUCCAGGGAACCAGAACUGGGAGUUAAACAAAAUCCAAGGAGAUGUAGGAGGCUUCUAGCAAAAUACAAGUGUGUUUUCUAGCAUUUUCCCAAAGGUCUUUUUAUAGUUCUCAGAGUUUACUCUCGCCCAGUAUACCCUUAAUAAGCACAUGGUAGUAGAAGUGUAACUUAAAAAAGAAGUUACGGGACCUGCUUUCAGCUGGCUCCAGUGAAACUCUGAGUAACAGGACUUGUGUGCAGCCCUGCCGGGGGGCAAGCAGAGACCUCGGGGAUGCUCCCAAGCCUGGCAAGAAUUCUUCCACUGCGAGUGUCCAGCUUGAGCUCACACUUAAAAGGUAACAACCAGCUUUCUGCAGUCCAAAAAGCCAAAUACCAACUCCGGGACACAGCAUAAGAAGGAGCAACAGCUCACUUCAUCUCUCACUAAGCUUUGAUUAUGGCCUAUUUCUUGAAUAGCUACCUUUCUCUUCAGGCACAUAGUAAAGGUGCUACAGGUUCUUUUAGUUUCAUUGCAAAUCACAACUCUCCUUCAAGACCACUACAUACGUUUCAAAAUAAAAUGACAAAAAGACAAGCAGGAUUCUCACUGCUGCUUUUAAAUGCUUAUAAGGGCAGAUCACCUCAGUGUGCCAAUCCACUAUGCUCUAAAGUACCGAAUGCUUUAGCACUUCAUUGUGUCUUGUGAACAAACAAGAGCACAUUUAGGGUACCUAUGUCAGGUCAAAGAAGAACACCCAAAUGAGGAAAAGCAACUGUUAAAAGCAUAACAUACCAGGGGCCCAACAUGCAAGUUGGGCACCUACUCUCCUCCAGCUCCAAGUGAUGCCCACAAGAGCUGGGAGCUCUCAGCAUCUCCGAAUAUCAGACAGCUGAAAAAGUCUCUCUCCAAAAGGACACUCGCAGAACCCAGCUCCAUCCUCCUCCCCACUCAUGGAGAGAAACAGACCCUUGGGGAAGUAACUAGGACACCUUUAGUUAGCUGUCUGGCCUUUGAAAGGGCUCUCCUUGCACUGACUGUAAAAGCAGACUUACGAAAACUAGCCCCCUAAUGUAGAAGGGCUGGCCUCUCCUUCCCACAAAGGCUUUCACCUCAGAGCUGAGUAUUUUGUGCUAGCAUAAUGAAUCAUUUGGGAGUUUCCUCUGCCACAGCAACCAAACUGCAUUUGUAUAUAAUACGAGUGAAGGUUAUAUACUUUACCAUUUAUUCAAGCAUUUACAUCAGCAAUUGUUUGCAUUGGAAAAACCACAAAGCAGGUGGUCUGUCAGCUUCCCUUGCAAACCUUUUCAGGAGAAGUGGAAGGAUUCUUAAUCAGGGUUAAUAUAAGCACAACUGUUAUUUACUACCAUUGUCUUAAGUUUUAUCAUGAAGCAAAUAAACCCCAAGCUAACAACUUUGAAAGGGAUAUUCAAAAAGAAAAAUCUAUAGAAUUGGAAAUUCAC